UUACCGAGUUAGGGUCUCACCGGCCCGAUCUCCCAACCCUUUGUCUACUUGACCAUCGUUGCUUCGGCGAGCCCGUCCUCACGGACCGCCGGGGGGUCUUUGUACCCCUUGGCCCGCGCUCGUCGACAGCCCCCAAAUUUAAAAAAUCUUAACUAAACGUGUCUUGAAUCUAAGUAUUAUUGUUAAAUAAAAACAAAACUUUCAACAACGGAUCUCUUGGUUCUGGCAUCGAUGAAGAACGCAGCGAAAUGCGAUAAGUAAUGCGAAUUGCAGAAUUCCAGUGAGUCAUCGAAUCUUUGAACGCACAUUGCGCCCUUUGGUAUUCCGAAGGGCAUGCCUGUUCGAGCGUCAUUAUCACCCCUCAAGCCCUCGGCUUGGUGUUGGACGGCUUGGUGGAGACCCCCUUUGCGGGCUUCUACCCCUCCCAAAGACAAUGACGGCGGCCUCGUUGGACCCCCGGUACACUGAGUUCUUCACGGGACACGUAUCGGACACAUGGGUUCACGGGACACGGUCUGCCUCCCCUCAGGGAGAAUCUUUUUUUAUCAAGGUUGACCUCGGAUCAGGUAGGGAUACCCGCUGAACUUUAAGCAUAUCAAUAAGCGGA
rnacentral:rRNA from 1 species